CAGCUGUUAGGAAGGAGCUGGGAGCUGCAGGCUGCCUACCAGAGUACAACAGGGAAAUGCUCUGAAAAUUGUCUGCAAUCCGUAAAAAGCUGCUCAGAGAGCAGAAACGGGUGAAGGGCCAGAUGAUGCGCUCAGAGUGAGAGGAGCUGGACUCACUUGACAGGAUGGAGGCUUCCGGGGAGCCUAUCAGACUUCCAGAUGACUACAUCCUGUCAAGGUGUGGUCGAAGAGGGUGGACCCAAAGAACAUGGGGAAAUACUGACACACAAACAUGAAGACACAAUAACGUGACAAGGACUGUCAAAGGGAGCAACUAUAUACACACACAGAAGGACCAAACUAGACAGGGGAAACUACGACAACGAGAGAACUGACUACAACAAACGAGAAA